rnacentral:rRNA from 2 species
UUCCGUAGGGGUAACCUGCGGAGGGAUCAUUACACAAAUAUGAAGGCGGGCUGGAAUCUCUCGGGGUUACAGCCUUGCUGAAUUAUUCACCCUUGUCUUUUGCGUACUUCUUGUUUCCUUGGUGGGUUCGCCCACCACUAGGACAAACAUAAACCUUUUGUAAUUGCAAUCAGCGUCAGUAACAAAUUAAUAAUUACAACUUUCAACAACGGAUCUCUUGGUUCUGGCAUCGAUGAAGAACGCAGCGAAAUGCGAUAAGUAGUGUGAAUUGCAGAAUUCAGUGAAUCAUCGAAUCUUUGAACGCACAUUGCGCCCUUUGGUAUUCCAAAGGGCAUGCCUGUUCGAGCGUCAUUUGUACCCUCAAGCUUUGCUUGGUGUUGGGCGUCUUGUCUCUAGCUUUGCUGGAGACUCGCCUUAAAGUAAUUGGCAGCCGGCCUACUGGUUUCGGAGCGCAGCACAAGUCGCACUCUCUAUCAGCAAAGGUCUAGCAUCCAUUAAGCCUUUUUUCAACUUUUGACCUCGGAUCAGGUAGGGAUACCCGCUGAACUUAAGCAUAUCAAUAAGCGGAGGA